rnacentral:rRNA from 1 species
GGUUUCUGCUAAGUCGCAAGACGAUGUAUAGGAGCUGACGCCUGCCCGGUGCUGGAAGGUUAAGGGGAUCUGUUAGAGCAAUCGAAGCAGUGAACUUAAGCCCCAGUAAACGGCGGCCGUAACUAUAACGGUCCUAAGGUAGCGAAAUUCCUUGUCGGGUAAGUUCCGACCCGCACGAAAGGCGUAACGAUUUGGGCACUGUCUCAACAACAGACUCGGUGAAAUUGUAAUUCCGGUGAAGAUGCCGGAUACCUGCGACAGGACGGAAAGACCCCAUGGAGCUUUACUGUAGCUUGACAUUGGGUCUUGGUACUACAUGUACAGGAUAGGUGGGAGGCUUUGAAACCAGGACGCCAGUUUUGGCGGAGCCAUCCUUGGGAUACCACCCUUGUAGUACUGGGACUCUAACCAUAGGCCAUGAAUCUGGUCUUGGGACACUGUCAGGUGGGCAGUUUGACUGGGGCGGUCGCCUCCCAAAAGGUAACGGAGGCGCUCAAAGGUUCUCUCAGUACGGUCGGAAAUCGUACGUAGAGUGUAAAGGCAAAAGAGAGCUUGAUUGCAAGACAUACAGGUCGAGCAAGGAUGAAAAUCGGACUUAGUGAUCCGGUGGUUCUGCGUGGAAGGGCCAUCGCUCAACGGAUAAAAGCUACCCUGGGGAUAACAGGCUUAUCUCCCCCAAGAGUCCACAUCGACGGGGAGGUUUGGCACCUCGAUGUCGGCUCAUCACAUCCUGGGGCUGUAGUAGGUCCCAAGGGUUGGGCUGUUCGCCCAUUAAAGUGGUACGCGAGCUGGGUUCAGAACGUCGUGAGACAGUUCGGUCCCUAUCCGUCGCAGGCGUAGGAAAUUUGAGAAGACCUGUCCUUAGUACGAGAGGACCGGGAUGGACG